UUAGAAAUGCAAACAUCCAUACCAAUAACUUUUAAAUCAAAAUACAUAUUAAAAUCCAUAUAAUCAAACUAAACUACUCUAUCUUCAAAUUUACUAACCAAACUAGUACUAGUCAACUCCAAAUUACAUAAAAUGCCUUGACAUGACAUAGUGCAAGAUUAAACUACUUAUUCAUCCCGAAAGGCUUCAACAAGUUAUGAUUAGCCAAAAGUUUCAAAAUUUUCGGCAUCAGAUCAGACUCAG
rnacentral:lncRNA from 1 species